AGAAUCAACGCUGGCGGCGCGCUUAACACAUGCAAGUCGAGCGAGAAAGCGGAGCAAUCCGUGAGUAAAGCGGCGUACGGGUGAGUAACACGUGGAUGAUCUACCUUUUAGUGGGGGAUAACCCUGGGAAACCGGGGCUAAUAUCGCAUAAGCCUGAGAAGGGAAAGCAGCAAUGCGCUGAAAGAGGAGUCCGCGGCCGAUUAGCUAGUUGGUGAGGUAAUGGCUCACCAAGGCGAUGAUCGGUAGCCGGCCUGAGAGGGCACACGGCCACACUGGCACUGAAACACGGGCCAGACUCCUACGGGAGGCAGCAGUGGGGAAUCUUGCACAAUGGAGGCAACUCUGAUGCAGCGACGCCGCGUGAGCGAUGAAGCCCCUCGGGGUGUAAAGCUCUUUCGGCAGGGACGAUAAUGACGGUACCUGAAGAAGAGCUGCGGCUAACUACGUGCCAGCAGCCGCGGU
rnacentral:rRNA from 1 species